AUGGAGCAGGACAAGUACCUGCCCGAGCUGAUGGCCGAGAAGGACAGCCUGGAUCCCUGCUUUGUUCACGCGAUGCGCCUCCUGGAAGACGAAAUGGAAAAAUUUCAGGGUUCUGAAGGCAAGAAAGAAGAUGAAGAAAAGAAAUAUCUUGAUGUUAUCAGCAACAAAAACAUCAAGCUGUCAGAGAGAGUUCUGAUCCCUGUCAAACAAUAUCCAAAGUUCAAUUUUGUUGGGAAAUUGCUUGGACCAAGAGGAAACUCCUUAAAGAGGUUACAAGAAGAAACAGGUGCAAAAAUGUCCAUCCUGGGAAAAGGAUCCAUGAGGGAUAAAGCUAAGGAAGAAGAGCUAAGGAAAAGUGGAGAAGCCAAAUACGCACACUUGAGUGAUGAGCUCCACGUAUUAAUUGAAGUGUUUGCUCCACCUGGGGAGGCGUAUUCUCGUAUGAGUCAUGCCUUGGAAGAAAUUAAAAAAUUCCUGGUUCCUGAUUAUAAUGAUGAAAUUCGCCAGGAGCAGCUGAGAGAACUUUCGUAUUUGAACGGUUCUGAGGAUUCAUCACGUGGACGGGGCAUUCGAGGAAGAGGGAUCCGUGUGCCGCCUGCAGCUCCUUCAAGGGGCCGUGGGGGUGCCAUUCCUCCCCCGCUGCCUGGACGAGGUGCCCAAGCACCCCGAGGAGCGCCGGUGACACGCGGAGCGCUCCCUGUCCCACCGGUGGCCAGGGGCGUCCCCACCCCUCGAGCCAGGGGCGCCCCGUCCAUGCCGGGCUACAGACCGCCCCCGCCGCCCGCACACGAGGCCUAUGAAGACUAUGGAUACGAUGAUGGAUAUGGGGGUGAAUAUGAUGAUCCAAGCUAUGAGGCAUAUGAUAACAGUUAUGCCACCCAAACACAAAGUGUGCCUGAAUAUUAUGACUAUGGUCAUGGAACAAGUGAAGAGGCUUAUGACAGCUACGCACAAGAAGAAUGGGCCACGACCCGUUCCAGCCUAAAGGCACCACCUCCAAGGUCAGCCAGAGGGGGAUACAGGGAACACCCCUAUGGUAGAUAUUGAAGGUCCUCCUCAUCUGUGACCUCAUCUCAAAGACAAUUAAUAGCCUGUGGUCUCCACAUAAACAGCAACAAGACAAGGACUCACAGGCACUGGACAGCUAAGCAGCAGAUCUGCUGGGAAGUGGUCAGAUUUUUUGGAGCCUUAGGGAAGUACUGUACCUUUUGAAUGGUGUUCAGGGAAUUGAGAGUGCUCAACAUCGUUUGCAAUAAAUCACUUGCUUCUGAAGGACAGCCUCAGGUUGGGACUCUCCACAGCCCUGAGUUCUGGACCUACCAUUACCACCCUCUCUAGGAUAUGCCACCAUUCAGACUUACAGUGAUCUUCCAGUCUAUCAGGUGAGCUGUAGUAUUUUUCUAUAUGGUUUUAGUUUAUGUAAAAUGUGAGAUAAUUAGGUCACAUCAGUCUGCAAAAAAUAGAAUUAUUUUUAACUAGUUCAUAUAUUGUUUGCCAUUGUAAAAGAGCUUAUACAGAGAUGCCUAUGUGCUUGUUACUUUGAGACAGGACAGUUUGAUUAUGUAUCUAAAUUCUUACACUUUUUCUGUCAUCAAGAAAUACAACAGUUAAUUAAAAGGGUCACGCCAUUAGAGUUUAAGACAGAUACAAUUAUUUAAUUCAAUCUUAUAUCGAGAAUGAGUUAGUUCUUUUGGAGAAAAGGGUAGUAGGGGGUCCUGUGGUUAAAGGCUAUGUUCUCUUGUAUAUGCUAAAGAACAUUAUGUAAUUAUAUUGGAAAUUAUAAAUCUAAUAUUUCCUAAAUCCUUCAAGCUAAAUACUGCAUUGUAUUUUUCUGUAAUAGGCUUAUACACAUCCAUAUGUCAUAGAAAAGUACAGUUAUUGCAUUUAGUUAUUAGAAAUGAACUUGUUUCUUCAGCAAAGACCAUGUGAAACAAAAGACCAUUGUCACUUGCUGUUGGCAGCUAGUGCAUGCAGAAGGUUUCAGCUCACAAAAGCAGCAUCAGUAGCUAAUGUGGAGUCCUGCUGUAGCUGGACUCAGCUUCAUUUCCUACACCCUGGUGCAAGCACAGUCUUCCCUUGUUCCUCCUGACUGCACACUAGAAAUGGACCUGAAGUGUUCCCUGAGGAACAGCAUGAAGUCCUCAUAUAGGACCCCAUUCCCUGUCACCGUGUGUUAAAAAAGGGGUGGCCCUUUUCUGGCCACACUAAAAACCAAAGCAGAACCAAAGUUCUGCUCUUGCAAAUGGUGAUAAAAUUUUAAACUAUGCCCUGGUUUAGACAUGGAUUUUUUCUCUACAGAGAAAGAGCUAAAAGAUUGUGGCCAGAAGCUACUCAAGCCUAACACAGCUCUAGACUUGAGAAAAAACUCUGUGGAUUUUUCAAGAUUCUUUCUCCUGGCUAGAGCUGGAAAUAAACCCUAGGUGACAGUAUUCACACUCCAGUUUUAUGUAGGCUGUGAGUGAGAUAAAGAAAUGGGUGAAAAUAUGCAGCUUUCUUAAGGGUUUACUUAGAUUAUAUUUAAGUGUGUUAACACUGUAAAUAGUAAUCUAAGGCCUUAGAAAUAUUUUUUAUUUCUUAGUAUUUUUGCUUUGCAUAUAGCAAAUGGAAGAAGAAGGGGGAAACUGCACUACAUCACAGAAUACUAUUCAUCACAACCAAAAUACUUUACUUAGAGGCCAAACUCCUAACCAUUAUGCCACAUUUCCUUAAAUGGCUUACAAGGGUGACUUGGAAGUAGGUGAUCAUGUUUGCCUGAAGAAAAUGACCUAGUAUUCUUGGAAACUUGAGAGUAGCAAUUCCUUUAUCUGCAGUAGUACCUGUAGUUUUUAAUAAGUGAUAAAAUAUUUCAGAAGGCUGGAAGACUCUUCUUAUAUUUCUAGAAGAUUAACAAAAGUCUUUAGAGGAAGAAAAGGGAAGUCUGAUUUUUUUCCCCAUCCUGAGGAAGAUAGAACUUUGUAGCAAAAUACCAAAGUUCAUCUAAUUCCAUUACUUCCUUGCAUUUUCUGAUUUUUUUUGUUUUCCAGCUGCAUUUAUAUGUGUGUAUAUAUAUUUAUAUAGAUACACAUGUAUAUACAUAUACAUAAAUAUAUGUACACAUAUAUAUAUACCCAGUUCAGGUCGAAAGGACUAUUUAAACACUUUUCAGGUAGGCAUCAAAAAAACCCAAAAGAGAUGAAACGCCCUCAACUGUUUAGAAAAUGUUCUUAAAUGCCUUGUGUAGACUAUGUAGCUGUCUUUCAGGUAACUGAGAUUGGGCAAAGUUCAAAACAUUUAAGGAGCAAAGUUUUCAAUUUCAGUUGUGGGUAUUGCUUUCAUUAAAAGCUACAGAUUGUGUAUAUCAUGUCAUAUCAUUAAUUAAAUUGUGCAGAGCUGAGAAGAGCAAGGCAUGAGGCAUAUGCUAGUCCUUGGAGUUUGAGGUAGGCCUGUUCUGUGCCCAAUGCUCUGUUGUUGAGCAAGAGGUUGAAAAGUGGAUGUAGAGAAGCCUGGCCCAAUGCAUAAGAGCUUUGCUGUGAGCAGACCAUUCAAGGCUUCACUUUGAGCUCCUCAUGCAUCCCAUUCACCUUGUGGAAAUUGGCCUAUGGAAUUUCCCAGGAGUGAAUUUUCUGUACUUCUGUAACUUCUGCUAAUUCUUUCCUCUGAUGGCUUUGUUUUUAAAUUGGUUGUUUAGUAAAUAAAUAGGAUUUACUUAGGAGAAGGCACUUCCCUUGAUAACUAUGAACAGUUUUAAAAGGGAGAUUAGACACUUCUCUCUGUUUGAGCACUGAAGACAUACUUUCGUUUUUAGAAGUACUGACAGCCUGCAGCUUUCACUAGUCUCAGGUUUGGGUUCUCAAAAACCAGGAGUCAUGACUGGCAUAAAAGGUGUAAAUAUCCUGACCCAAACCAGCUUUUUUGUACUUCAUGUCUUGCAUCUUUAUACAGAUACUGUUGAAAUUAAUGUGUUACAGAUUUUUGAGACAGCAAGCUAGUACUAAUGAAAGUUCAAGAAGUACUGAAAAUGAAUAUAUCACACAAAUGUUUCACUAUUAGCUGGAAUUACAGCUGAAGUGAGCCUCCUUUAUUUUUCUAAAAGCAUCCCUAAUAGCUGGGAUGUGUUGCUGUAGUCAUGCACUAUAAUGAUAGCCUACAAAACAGGUAAGUAAAUGAGGAGGUAGAUUGUGUAAGUAUGUACAUUUCUCUCAAGAUAGGUAGAAUUAAAUGUUGGAGAAUACUAGCCUGAAGCUAGUAGACAUAAGACACUAUAGACCAUACCAGCAAUAAGGAAAGCUCUCAGUAACUCCUGGUCCUUACUUAUGAGUUCUGUAGGUAUAUCUGUAACCCCUCUGCAGCAUCUAAGUUUGGGUGUCCAAUCUCUCCUUAUAACACUGAUACAGAGAUAAAUGUUUAGCUAGGGCUGAAUCUAGCCUUUAGGCUGUAUCCUGAACUCUCUUUUCUGUCAAAGUCAAAUAAUAUUUUUAGCUUUUAUUGACCUGAUGAUCUAACUCCACUCAGCAUUUGUUUCUGGCCAAAUACACUGCUCCCCAUCUAGGUCUAAACUGACUUACCAAAGAAGUUGUGUUCUUCAGGCAUGAAAUGGGUUUUUAUUACUGAGGUCCACAGUGCAGAUCAUUGGAAGUUAUGUAAUAAUAUGAAAGGACAUAUAAUUGAAAGGCUGUCAGAAGAUAAAAGGAUAUCAAGCUUCCCAGAGCAUUCACAUUUCAACUCCUGAAGCGGGCUGACAUUGAAAGAGCGAUUCAGUGUUCAGUGCUGGCCCCUCUGGUAGCCGCUCUGCUCCUCCUCACUGCUGCCUGUUGAAACAUCACAGAGUCUGCAGCAUAGAAUUUAAUACAGGAGUUUUCCAUUAAAGACAUUAGCUGUUGCAUUUCACUGUUACUUCUAGCUCAACUCACCUGCUAGGGACACAGUACUUUGUCCUUGAAUAGGCAGGAUUGCCUUCAUCCUGUUCUUCCCACUGGAGCAGCGAGAAGUAGCGUGUGAGUACAUACUGAGCAAUGCACAACAAGUGAGUAACUGCAAUACAGGCAUAUAUUAUUCUUGGAUUUGUUUUAAAUGUCAAGCAAUAAUACAUGGGAAGUAAAAGUAAGUCUUUAACUAUCCUGACAUUCUCCUAAAUGUAAAAAACCGUAAGAGAUGCCUGUAUUUACUACAAAUAAUAAAACUGGAGUGUUCCGCUAAUCAAAUUCAAAUCAGUUCAACUGCAUAAUUUUCAGUGAAUAGGUGCUUAUAAAACACAGAAUGAACUCCAGAAGGGAAGGUUCAUUGCUUCCUAAUCAAAAGCAGUCAGCUUUAAACACCAGCCAGUCAGGUGAUAGGUUUGUCAUUUCUCAGCUGUGCUCUUGGAGGGAAUUUGCCAGGAAGGCUUGAAAGCUUUUAAACUUCACAGAGCAUUUUUUUACCUGUUUUUGAACAUCAUGUUGAGCUACAAAAAAACUGGGAGACUGGGAGGAGAGGCAGAAUAACAGCAGUUCUAUUAAAAUAUAUUUGCUGCAAUGAGUGUCAAGCAGAGUUUAUGGUGCAAAAAAACAAUUCCUGAAAAGAAAUUUUGACCCCCGUCGGGUCUGAUUCUUUCUUGUCUAAUGGUGUCCAGCUACUUUGGGGACUGAGGAGUGACGGUGAUUAAUUGCCUGGAUGUUGGAGAAAUAAAGGCUCAUAAUGCAUCAUUAAAACUAAAAAUCAGGGUGUCUGAACUAUCAUGGGAAGCUUAAAAUUAAUAUAUUACUGCUAUGUACAAUUAACAGUCCAAGUCAGAAAUCAUUUGCUUUCAUAAUUUAGAACAAUGGCAGCUCUCCAGUGAAAACUUAUUUACAGUAGUUUUACAUUGCUUUCUAGAGGCUUAGUACAAAAGGGAGAGACAAAAAAUUAAUAUGCACCAAGGCAGUUAAAGAGAAACCUGGCUUUGAACUGUUCUUUCAUUUUAAUCAGCAUGAGCUCUGCUAAAUCGGGAAAAGAAUUAUGAGUAGGUGGCUAGCAACUAGGUUACUGAGGGCAAAUCACUCUCAGGGGAAUAAUUUUGCAAUCUGAGCAACAGAGUCUGAUCUGUGCAUGACUUGGGCUGAACAGGUCUUCUCUGUUUUAACCCAGCAUCAACAUCAGUUGUAAGGUGGCCAACCUGAAGUCCCUCAUCCAAAUUCCCCAACAUGAAAGUCUGUUCUCCCCUCCAAUGGCAAUUGUACCACUGUGCUAGAAGAAUUUUUCAGUGUCUUCUAUUUUCCAAUGUCUUUCUAAUGUUGUUCUAGUGUUUUCUAUUUCACAUCCUCAGCUUUGGGACCUCAUACAUGUUUUAGUAAUUUUUGGUAUUGGUUGAAGUCCCAUUAAGCUUCUUAAAUUCUUAAACAGCUUCUUGGAGGGAUUUUGUUGGAUUUUUUUUUCUUGUAACUUAGGUUAUAAAAGUAGCACCAUAAACAUUAAUUGAAGAGCCAUUAAGCAGUAGGGCUGUUUGUUUUGGGUUGAUAGAGGACAUAAAACUUCAUACCCUGUGGUGAAAAACAAUUAGAUCUGGUGAUGAACAUGCUAUUAAAUAUACCGUUACCAAACUUCUAUCAGUUUAACUUUAGAAAAACCAGCUGUAGUCAAAGCAUACACAAAGGAUAGAGAGUCAUAUUUUAACUGUCAUGUCAUAGCCUGUUAUAAAUAUUGUCAUUUCUAAUGUUUUAUGCUAAUGACAGUGACUAAUAGUAGUCAUUACCUCUGUUCAUUCUCAUAAAAAUUUUCUCUAGAGAAUACGAUCACAGCUAGAGUGCUGUUUAAAAUUAAGUUUUGUUUUUCUAAAAUAGAUAACAUAAAAAUAUUUAAAUACCGAGAGGUUUGUUAACUAUUUUAUUUUGUAAUAGCAUGUGUUUGACAACUACAGCUUUUGUUAAUUGUGCUAUAAGUUGAACAGAUAUCCCUUUCAGAGACAUUUCUGGCAUGCUAGUGUGUGCCAUGUCUCUGGUCUCUGAGCAAUGGAGUAAAAGGUGAAUCUCACAGAAGCCAUAAAAAAAGUCUGAUGCUACCCCUGUGGAGGCUUAAUAUUAGGAACAUUGAAUUUUCUCAUCCAUUUCUUAUUUCAGUUAUGAAUUCUGCUUACUUGACAGGUACAGAGUACUUCAUUAUGUGCAUGAACAGAAAUGCUUAAAUGGAUGAAGCAGCUAUUUAUGUCUGAUAGGAGCUAAGUGGGACAUUAAAUUAAUGCCAAACAAGUGAGUGCUCAUUUUAGUUUUGUUAUAAAUGGCUGCAGCACAGCAGUAAUGUGUUGACUCUUAUGUGCUGACAAGUUCUAUAUUUCUUACAAACUUCCCUUAGAGCUCGUCGUGGAAAGACAAAUUCACACUCUGCAUGAUGAAAUUAGCAGCAGAUGCAUUAAUAAUUGAAUAAGGAUCUCUGGAGACACACCACAGCUCAGAAAGAGAGUUGUUGACUGGCUGGUUUAAGUAGAGGCUUCUGUUCUUAUAUAUAUGCACUUACAUAAGCCAUGAGUUAAGAGCUAGUGCCUGUAUGUAGCCUUUGAUAUCAAAUCCACUUCCUGCUCUUAGAAGACUUUGCAUAGUUACAUUUGACAGGUCCACGAGCAGACUGACAACUAAAUCUGGGCAGAGCAUGGCCUUGCUCAUUCCUCCUUCUCUCUGACUGUUAUUAAACUUCAAGGCAAAAUGAAUGCAGUUUCUUCAGAAAUCAUCUCCAGACAAUGAGUGGGAUAUGAGUGACUUUUACUGUAUGCCAGACCCUUGUCAUGGACCUCCAUUUCUAUAGGGUUUAAAGUUUCCAGCAGUGCAAAUCCCAGCUUCUCUCACAGAAGGAUUAGGAUACUGACAUCUUCCUUUCCAGCAAACGUGAUGCUCUUUGAUUUAUCCACAUGCCCAGGUUUGAGAGGGAAGCAAUUUCACAGAAUCACAAAGAGACCACAGUGAGCCACCUGAUCCCACUUCCCUUCUCAAGAAGGCCCAUCCUAGAGCACAUUACACAGGCUUGUGUCCAGAAAAUUCUUUAUAUCUCCAGUGAGGGAGACUCCACAACCUCUCUGGACAAUCUGUUGCAGUGCUCAGUCACAGCAAAAAGUUUAAAGAUUUAAAAGAUUUAAGAGGUUCUUCCUCAUAUUCAGGUGGAAUUUCCUGUGCAUUAGUUUCUGCCCAUUGUGUCUUGUUGUACUGCUCAGCACCACUGAGCACAGUCUGGAAACAUUCUCUUGACACUCUCCCUUCAGAUGCUGAUAGACACUGAUGUGUUCCCUUCUCAGUCACCUCUUCUUGAGGCUCAACCAGCCCAGCUCCCUCAGCCUAUCCUUGUAGGAGAGAUGCUCCAACCCCUUAAUCAUCUUUGUUCCCCUCCACUGGACCCACUCCAGGAGCUCCCUGUCUCUACUGUACUGAGGAGCCCAGAACUGGACACAGCACUCCAGAUGUGGCUUCACCAGGGCUGAGUAGAGAGGCAGGAUCCCCUCCCUCAACCUGCCCUUCCUGAUGUACCCCAGGAUACCAUCAGCCUUCUGGGCCACGAGGGUACAUUGCCAGCUCAAUUUUUGUCUUUUGUUCAAUAGCAAAGAAAGCAAGAGGAUUGACAGAAAAAUGCCUCUGCUUUUGAAAGAUACCACCAAGUCUUUGAUGUAAUUUUUACUAGUUACUUUGCAAUCACACCAAAUAAUAUUUUCCUCAGAGGAUAUUGACUAAAUAGUGUGAUAUUUCAUCCACAGCAAUACUAUUGGAGCAAAUUCUUCAGAGUUUAAAACCAGAACAUUUUUGCACUAUUGCCAAGAGAGUGAUAGUAAUUUGAGUAGUCCAAAAAUUUGUUCCGGUUUGAAGAAAGCCAAGAUUUAGCACAGUAUUACUAGAUUAACUCCACAAAGCUCUCCUAACUGUGCAUGCAAACUUCAGCUGCUGGUUUUGAGCACAGGUGGAAUUGAUCUCUGUAUUUUGCUUUCCUCACGGUUAUUUUAUAAAUCUCAGGAUCUGUAAGAAAAAUUUACCUUCAAAAUAUCUAUCAGUGUAUUUCUGGAGUUUCAUCAGCUAAAGAAAUGCUAAUUCUAAUCUUAGAUUUUAAAUAUAUUGCAAUAUUUUGCAUAAACUAAAAAAUCAUUUAAUAAAGUGGUACUGCCUUUAAAGCAAUACUCAAGAUUCAAUUGUCUUUAAAACAAUACUUCAAUUCCUUCUAUUUAGAUAUGCAAUUAUUUUAUUCAAUAACAGUGCAUAUAUUAUUUAUUCAGUAAGAAUUUGGUAUGAAUCUCAUCAUAAUGGAAGCAUGGAAUUUGAGAUCUUUUUAGUAUGAGAGACAUUUAAACAGUUUCUGUUGUCGCUUGAAAUAAGAUUUAAGUCCCAGAGAUUUAUAUUUGCAUAAUGAAGUAUUGUCUCAAUCUAAAUCACAGAAUCACUAGGUUGGAAGAGAUCUUGAACCCAUGCCCUAACACCUCAACUAACCCAUGGCUCCAAGUGCCACAUCCAGAUACUCUGAAACACUCUGCAAGUGGCUCAGCUGAGGAAAGAAUAGUACAUAUUUUGCUUUGUGAUAUUGAACCACAAUGCAGAUAUUAAGAGAUCAGAGACAAUCAGGUGAAGGAGUAAGCAUGCCAAAAUGAUACCCUGGUUUCAGCAUCACGCCUUCUUUGGAGUGCUUGGAAUAAAGAUGUGAAAAUUGGAUUUACAUAAACUUUUUAGUCAAUAGAGCUACCAUUUCAGAAUUAAUAUUUUUGUUUGAUUCACACAUGUAUAAAACAUUUCACUGCUGUUUAAAAAAAGUAAUCUUACCAUCAUCUGAGUUUUUAAGGAAAAGACUAAGUACUCAAACAAGGUCAUGACCUGCUAGAUGAAAGGAAUAUACAUGAGUUGCAUAGACCAAAGAGGAAUAAAGAGACUGCAUUGACGGGGGCGGAGGGAGAGAGAUCACGAGUCAUUAACCAUGGCUUUAUGCUUCACAUCUCUCUACAGUGGGUUUAAUCCUAUUAACUGAUUUCCAUUUGUUCUGUUAUUUCUAUGGAAUAAGAUCCUAAGUCUUCUCCAGGUCAGAAAUGAAUAUUAUGCAGUCCAAUAACUUUUAUACGUAUUGUUAGCAUAUGUAAGGCGCAUCAGUGGCACCAAUGUUUAUUCUUAACAUCGGAAGUAUUCACCAAAUUUCACAACUCUGGCAGUUAUCACUUCUGUAAAAGUGACAAGAUAUUUCUAAAGCCUUCUAGUGAGUGAGUAAACCAAUGGGGUUUAUCCAUGUUUUGCAGGUCACUGGAUGUUCAGAAGAGCAAAGCAAAUGAAAAGAACCCCUUCCCUUUUUCUAUCACAGUAAUUUUGCACUUGAGUAUAUGAGCAUUUGCUAAUAUAAAAGCUAUUGAGGAAGAUAUGAAGGAAACUUCUUCUAACACGGCCUUAUAAGGUAGAAAUAAAUGUUGCAUUUCAAAUCACAAGUCUCCUUGAAAUUUUAUUUCAUUUUAAAAGGCAUCUUGAGCACCAAUUUUUUUGUUUCUGGUGACUUACAAUCAAACAAAUCCACUUAAAUUGAAAACAGAGUUUUCUAAUUGUCAUCCUGUAACCUCAGCCUGAAGAUCAAGUAGCUACAUUUUGAUUUUGUCUUAUCACUAGUGUUGAUAUUUGUACAGGACAUAAAAUUUUUACCCCUUGUACAUUGCCCUUCUAUCCUUCAUGAUCUUCCUCAGUUGUCCCCUUCUGUUAUUGUUGCUGUUGUUAUUAUUAUCAUUAUCAUUACUAUGUUUCUUCGAAUAUUUGCCCAGAUAUUGUUUAGGUGCAUCCUUUUUUUUGGAAAAAGUUAGCAAGUCUGUUAGUACUCCAUGCACCUAUUUGUACUUCUCUACAAAUUACCCAAAAGAAUAAAUGUUUCCUUAGACUCAAUAUGUGAAAUAAGGGGAGGGGGUGAAAGAAAAAUAUCCUCUUUUUUAACAUACUUUUCUGAACUUGAACACGGUUGUGGAGAAACUGGUAUAUGCUGUACCCUCCAUAAGGACUCUGAGAGAGCACAAGUUAUAGGAAUGGCCAACACAACUGAAGCAGAGUAAGAUACUGCAGCAGCAAAUUAUUGCAGAGUAUCAGUUCUUUCCUCAGGAGCUCUUGAAUGGCAGACUAAGCAUGGAGAGUGUCCAUAGAGAGUUCUUGUCUACUCUGUUCAAGCAAAACAAAUAUACAGGGGUGAAGUCACUGUGCAUUUCCUGAUUAUCCUCUGAGAGCUGUGAUAGCUGUGCUGAGUUGGCAGGGCCAAAAACUCAACACAGAAGUCUCCGCAGAAUGCACUUGAUUUCUUUGUAGCCCACUCUGAUAAGAGGAAGGCCAGGUGUUUCCAUAUAUUCUCUGUAAACCUUCUUUGAAUUUAAUAAAUUGGAUGGGAUGCCAAUCACACAGAAUGAUCCAAGCUUUUGAAUAAAAUUAUACCAUUUCAUUCAUCCCAGUAAGUAAUCCCAUUAUUCUACUUCUCCUGCUAUUUGAGAAAGUAGGACCUGUUCUUUGAAUGUCCCAUAUGAGAAGUGCAGCCUUUUCUGAUCACAGACAAAGCUGGGUAUUUUACUAGUUUUUCCAUUUUAAUUUCCAGUCUACUGAAAGAAACUUCCCUCUCCCAUCAUGGUUUUUUGGAUUCCCUAGCAUUUAUCAAGCCAAUUAGUGUUGUCCGGUUUCUUGCUUCUCUUCUGUCUCUCUGAUAAUGCAGAGAUAAUGCACAGGAUAUCUCCUGACCGAAAUAAAAAUGACUAGUUUGAACUUCCCUAUGCAAAAAUGUCUAAAAUUGAGCAAUAACUUAACACCUGCAGUUCCAAAGUCUUCCAUAUUGCACAAUGGACAUUUAAUUUUCCUUUAAAGAAAUGUGUAACAUGCUGGGGGGUGUGGGUUGGAAGCAGAGAUGACACACACUCCCAAGUUCUUGUGACAAACAGCCUUGAGUUUAUUCCCACAGCUCCUUUUAUAGGAGCUCCAAUUGCACGCAUGAUUUGUUGAGGUCUUAGCCCCUCCAGCUGUCUGGCCAGUGAUACAUCUGCAUUUAGGGCUGAAUGACAUUUGGCUGGAGGUCCCUCUGUAGAUUUGAAUCCUACCUAUCCUUGCUCACCCAAGGACUCCAAUGCUACAGAAAUGGACUUCUUCAAGGCCUCUUUUAGGAGCAGAUUUCCCACUGCUGAAACAGUAAACUCAGUUUUGUCUUUCAGAGAGUCUUUGGAAAUGCUUCUCUCCCACGUAGCUGCAGUUUCCUGUCCUUUCUGUUACCUACCUUUGCUAAUCAUAGCUCCUGUGGAGUUGAUAUUUGUUCAGAGGUUUCUGCAACCUAAAAAUGCCAGUCUUCAUGGGGCGUGAAGAAAAUUAAGAAGACAGAACCAGUAAAUUUUGGUUACAAUCCUAAUCCAAGAUGGAAAUUCAAUCCAUGCACUUUCAUCUUCCUGUAAAGUAAUAUUUAAUACUCAUCUCCAUAGUUAUAUUUGGAUGCUCUGAAUAUCUCCUCUAAUGUACUUCUAAACUUGUCAUUUUAAGAUAUAAAACCUUUUUGAACAUAGAUGAUACAGUAAAGACUUUCUAAAGAUAAUUACAAGUUCAAAGACUUCAGUUAGGGCAGAAAUUCCUCAGUACAAGCAAAUGGAUCCUCUUAGUCACUGGAUAAAUGCACGAAGAAAGUUAGAAAGGCUGGAAUCUCAAGAUGGAAUUUGGAAACACCAAGCAAGAUGGAAUACUUUUUUUCUCUGAAAAAUAAAAAGCUGUGUGCCUUGGAGGCUGCCUAGCAGGGAUAACUGAAAUUUAGGCAAGGAACAAGGAUAUUGUGCUUACACAACAGUGCUUGCAUAGAAAUUACCCAUAGAGACCCAAGGAGUACAAGGUGCCUCAAAAUC